CAGCAGCCGCGGUAAUACGUAGGGUGCAAGCGUUAAUCGGGAUUACUGGGCGUAAAGCGUGCGCAGGCGGCUAUGCAAGACAGAUGUGAAAUCCCCGGGCUCAACCUGGGAACUGCAUUUGUGACUGCAUGGCUAGAGUACGGUAGAGGGUGAUGGAAUUCCGCGUGUAGCAGUGAAAUGCGUAGAUAUGCGGAGGAACACCGAUGGCGAAGGCAAUCCCCUGGACCUGUACUGACGCUCAUGCACGAAAGCGUGGGGAGCAAACAGGAUUAGAUACCCGAGUAGUCCCUGUCUCUUAUAC
rnacentral:rRNA from 1 species